rnacentral:rRNA from 1 species
CGAGUGCGUGCGUGCGUGUAUUGUGGCAGUGGCUUUUAGCUGCGCUCGGUAUGUGUGCUGCGUGUGCUUGCUGGUGCCCUGUGCUGCGGUGGGACGUCAAGGUCAGUUCGUAUACUGCGGGAAAUGUCUGCCGAGGAGGUAGGGCUUACGCUUGCGUUUGUCUAUUAUAUCUUGGCGGACGAGUAGUCGCGGUUGGGACUGAGGUGUCUACAACGUGCUUUUGAGUGGGUCUGCGUCUCCGUGUGCGCCGUGUGCGAAUAGCUUGCUAUGUGCGUGUGGCUGUGUAUGGAUUGAUGCGGACUUUAACUUGUUGCCGUUCGGGACGUUGACGAAAUGGAGCGAUCCGACCCGUCUUGAAACACGGACCAAGGAGUCUAACAUAUGUGCAAGUGUUAGGGUGUCGAAACCCCAGCGCGAAAUGAAAGUAAAGGUCAGCGCAAGCUGUCUGAGGUAGGAAACGUUGCGGACUUCGGUCUGCGAUGUGGCACUAUCGACCGAUCAUGAUCCUUCGUGGUGAAAGAUUUGAGUUUGAGCACAUAUGUUGGUACCCGAAAGAUGGUGAACUAUGCCUGAGUAGGGUGAAGCCAGGGGAAACUCUGGUGGAAGCUCGUAGCGAUUCUGACGUGCAAAUCGAUCGUCAAACUUGGGUAUAGGGGCGAAAGACUAAUCGAACCAUCUAGUAGCUGGUUCCCUCCGAAAUUUCCCUCAGGAUAGCAGCAACUUAUUUACGAUAGUUUUAUGUGGUAAAGCGAAUGAUUAGAGGAUUCGGGGAAGAAAGUUUCUCGACCUAUUCUCAAACUUUAAAUCUGUAAGACCCGU